rnacentral:lncRNA from 10 species
AAAGUCUUUUCUGCCUACCAGACUUCUUCCCUCCCAGCUGAGCAGGGCACUGGCCAGUGUUCCCACUUCACAGUUAAACUGAGCCAGGUCCUGAGAGGCUGGGAGGAAGAGUCAGGCUCAGUUCAUGGCCUUGACUCUCUCCUCAGUCCAGAGACCCACGUUGAGCCAUUCCCAGCGCUGUCUCCUGCAUUUUAUAGUAGCGACCUCCCACAAUUUCCCAGCUCUGAAAUCAAAGUUCAAGGCUGUCUGCUUUUUUUCUCUACUGGAGUCCUGUUGGUGACAGUUUGGACCCACCAAUACCCUGUUGAUCCCCCUGAGCCCUGCCUUUUUGUUUACUGCACAAAUAUGCACUGUUCAGAAAACAAACAACAAAAAGGGAAGCAAUUCUGUUUACUAGACUUUUUGUUUGUUUGUUUGAGACAGGGUCUCUCUUUGUCGCCCAGGCUUGAAAGCAGUGCUGUGGUCAUGCCUUUUUGCAACCUCUUUCUCCCAUGCUGAAGCCAUCCUCCCACCUGAGCCUCGGGAGUAGCUAGGACUACAUAUGCCUGCUACCAUGCCUGGCUAAUUUUUUUCAUGUUUUGUCGAGAUGAGUCUCUUUAGAUUGCCCCGCGUGGCUUGCUGGAUAUUUGAGCCAAGGAAACUUGAGUGGAUCUCAUAACCUCAAGGGACCACAUGUCCUUGAAUGAUGGACAGCCACCAUUUCUGUCCUAUCUACCUUAUGUGGGUUUGACAGGCCUCUCCAGGCCUGGAUCUGAGUCUAAUGCAGGGCUUAAGUGAUGCAGGCCUCUGGGCCACUGUAAGUCACCACGGAGCGUUUCUCCACCGAGCUCCAGCGGCUGCGGGGCCCGGCGCCGCCCUCGAUUAAUGCUGGCAGCGCCACCAAGCGGGCAGCUGGGAAACAGCGGCCACCUCAUUCCAAGGAAGCGGGGAGGCGGAGAGAGUGGGGAGGGCCCCGCUUUGGUCGCGAUCCGGUGGACACCAUCCCGGCGGGGAGGAGCCUUCCCACGAGGACAGAUGGCGACACACACGCCUGUUGGAGCAUCCUGAGGCCCGCCUCUGUGGCUUCUGUUGUGACGCAAGCGUUCCCUCCGCGAGUAGGGUCUGUGGCCGGGGCUGUGUCUGCGGGACUGGGAAGCUCUCCCGUGAGGCCUUGCAGUCACCAGAGAUGGGAUCCAGGCUCAGCUCGGCCACGUCUGAGCUUCUUGCCAUCUGGGAAACGGGGUGCAGAGAGACAUCCCCGGUUGAAAGCUAAACCUUCUUGCUGCAAGCCAUGCCAGGGAGGUAGGUCAGAGGCCAAAAGCCUUUGCCUGAAAUUUACGGCCCCGCAGUUGGGCCUUAGUCUCCUCUUCCAGUUUUAUUUAUUUAUUUUUUUUAGAGACAAGUCUCACUCUGUCACCCAGGCUGGAGUGCAGUGGGGCGAUUAUAACUCACUGCAACCUCGAACUCCUGAGCUCAAGUGAUCCACCUCAACCUCUGGCGAAGCUGGGACAAGCCAGUGCCACCUGCCCAGCCAAGUUUUGAAUUUUUGCAGAGACGAAGGUCUCACUAUAUUGUCCAGGCUGGUCUCAAAUUCCUGCCUCAAGUGAUCCUCCUGCUUUGGCCUCCUGAAGUACUGGGAUUACAGUCGUGAGCCACCAAGACUGGCCUCCUCUUCUACCCUCAACUCCAGCUACUUUUUUAUUUUUGAGAUGGAGUCUUGCUUUGUUACCCAGGCUGGAGUGCAGUGGCACGAUCUCGGCUCACUGCAACCUCUCUCCUGGGUUCAAGAGAUUCUUCUGCCUCAGCCUCCCAAGUAACUGGGACUACAGGCACACACCACCGUGCCUGGCUAAUUUUUGUAUUUUUAGUAGUGAUGGGGUUUCACCAUAUUGGCCAGGCUGGUCCCGAACUCCUGACCUCACGAUCCACCCGCCUUGGCCUCCCAAAGUGCUAGGAUUACAGGUGUGAGCCACUGCGCCUGGCCGACUCCAUCUACUUUUUACUCAGCCAGAGGGGCUCACUGUCCCUCUGAAAUAUCUCCACGGUUUCCCACCUCCACACCAUCCGUGGUGCCUGGAAGGCAUCUCCCCCAGCCCUCCUGAGAUCCACACAAAUGUUCAUAUUGGAUGUGUAGAUGUGGGGUAUUAUUAUCUUAAUGUUUUCUAAUUAUAUGUGCUCUUCUAUACACAAAAAGUGUAAAGAAAAAGUAUCACCCACUUUCCUGAAUUAUUCCACUAUUCUGAUUUAACUAUUUUAUGUAUAUAUACUUGUAGAGACAGGGUCUGGCCAUAUUGGCCAGGCUGGUCUUGAACUGCUGGCCUCAAACAAUCUGCCUUCCUUGGCCUCCCAAAGUGCUGGGAUUCCCGUCAUGAGCCACUGCGCUGUGCCCCUAUUAUUAAUUUUUAAUUAAUGUAUUACUUAGACUUAAAAACAUUUUUCUGUGCAAAUACAUAUAUGUAUUUUACAUACAUGGACUACGUGUACUAACCACCUUUUAGUGUGGAGAAGUUACGCCUCUGCAGCCGGUUACUGAGCUUCUCGAAAGCGGAAGCUCCUACCCAUCCGUCAAAGUGCAGCCCAUGUCACUCCGCCCUGGAGGUCUCUGUGACUCAGACAGGCAGCGUUUACUGUCCUCUCACCUGGUUGUCGAUGAUACCUUGACCACACUUUAAUUUCGGUACUUAUUGUCUUAUAUUUGGCUAUUGGUUUAUGCAUCUGAACUCUCCACUUGAUUGGUACACAUGGCACCCUCAGGCGUAGCUAAUUUUUUACUUUUUCUAGAGAUGGGGUUUAGCUGUGCUGCCCAGGCUGGUCUUGAACUCCUGAACUCAAGCAAUCUGCCUGCCUCGGCCACCCGAAGUGCUGGGAUUACAAGCAUGAGCCACCGUGCCUGGGUGCUGCUAUCUUCUAAAUGAGCAGAAUGCAUAGAUUCCUCUCUAGGGUUUGCAGAUUUGAAAAGAUGGGGUUUUGCACCAUGCACCUAACAUUCUUCUUGCCAGAAGCGCUCUGCAGAACAAAGGAGUUUUAUGAAGACUAGGUGCCUCUAGCCUAUCUUCUAUCCUGGAACCUCAAACCUGGUAAUCCAUUAUUUAUUCAACAAAUAUUGAUUGAGCACCUACUAUGUGCCAGAUACUAAGUUUAGAGAGUAUAAUAGUGAACAAAACAGAAAUCCUUGCCUUCUAUGGGACUUACAUUUUACUGGAGGCAUUCAGACAAUAAACAAAGUAAAUACUUAAAAUAUAUAGUAUGUUCGACGGUGUUGAGUGUUUGGGGAAAAAUAAAGUGGAAGGGACAGUCCUAUCCUUAGACCUGGGUAAGAGGGUCCCUUUCCCCAAGCUCCACCCUUCUCUAAGCCCCUCCAGGGCAAAGAGUCUGCCAGGACAAGGGGAUGUGGCCCCUGGGAGCCCAAGAUCCUUCUCUAGGUUUCACUCUGGUUAUCCAAGACCUCAAGAGUUCCUGCUCAAAUGGCACUGAACCCAUGUUCGGGGCUUGUUUGUGUUCCCAUAGGUCUGACCCUGAGAGAGUGGAAUGUACCUGUAAGCCAAAAGUACAGUCAAGAGGUGACUGUUUCCUGGGGAUGUAGCUGGGAUGUUCACUUGUAUGACUGAGGUGCAGGAUGAAAAUGGGUGUGGGAAGAGAAAGGGGGUAAACCAUCAUUUUUACUCUUUUUUUUUUUUUUUUUUUGACACAGAGUUUUGCUCUGUCACCCAGGCUGGAGUGCAGUGCGGUGAUCUCGGCUCACUGCAACCUCCACCUCCCGGGUUAAAGCGAUUCUCCUGCCUCAGCCUUUGGAGUAGCUGGGGUUACAGGCACAUACCACCAUGCCUUCUAAUUUUUUGUAUUUUUAGUAGAGAUGGGGUUUCACCAUGUUGUCCAGGCCGGUCUUGAACUCCUGACCUCAGGUGAUCUGCCCACCUCGGCCUCCAAAGUGCUGGGAUUACCGGCAUGAGCCCCCAUUCCCAGCCCAUUUUUAAUCUAUUUCCAGGCUUUCCAAAUGUUAGGGACAGGACUGGGAAGAUAGAUAUGGAGACGGGGGGGUGGGGUGUCACUGCAAUUUUAAGUAGAAUGGGCAGGGAAGGUGACAUUUUACUAAAGAAGAGGAGGAAAGGAGUGGUAUGUGUAGAUAUAACUGAAAGUGCCCUCCAGGCAGAGGAAAAGUGAGUACGAAGGUGUGGAGGCAGCAGUGUGCCUGGGAUGCCCAGGAAAAAUAAACCUGGGUACUCGCCAGGUGCCAUGGCCCAGGGGGACCUGCCAGAUUUGUGCUUGUGCAAAACCUAAAAAAAAUAGGCCCUUGAAGCCAGGCUCGGUGGCUCACUCCUGUAAUCCCAGCAUUUUGGGAGGCCGAGGCAGGCAGAUCACAAGGUCAGGAGAUCGAGACCAUCGUGUCUAACAUGAUGAAACCCCGUCUCUAGUAAAAAUACAAAAAAAUUAGCCAGGCAUGGUGGUGGGCACCUGUGGUCCUAGCUACUCAGGAGGCUGAGGGAGGAGAAUGGCAUGAACCCAGGAGGUGGAGCUUGCAGUGAGCGGAGAUGACGCCACUGCCGUCCAUCCUGGGUGACAGAGCAAGAUUCCGUCUCAAAAAUAAAAAAAUAAAAAAAAAAUAAGACCUCGAUCAAUGUUGGAUUGAAUGAACGAAUGGUCCCACCUCUUGGAGGAGCCACUCCCAACAGCACACAGCUGCCUCUUCUUCCCGGCUCUGUGCCAAGGGGUGUUUCAGCUUUGCUUUGAUCCUGAUGACCAGGCACUGCUAUUCUUUAGGCCGGGAUUUCCCCAAGCCUUGGUAUUUUUAAAAAUACGUUAUAGUUCCCUUGAAACUCUCUCCUUAUCACCUCCACCUUCCUGUUUUCAUCUCCCACUCCUUGGCACCCUCUGUCUCCCCACGGUGUCCCCAUGACGCUGCCUGCAUGCCCAUUGGCCCCAGCCUGGGAGCUUCUCAGAGACGCCCGGGCCAGACAUGGCUGCAGAUAGAGCCAAGAGGGUGGCCUCGGGUGGCUGGUGGCAGUCUCCUGGCUGUGGGGGCAGAAGUGGGGGCCUGGGAGGUGGCAGGCAGCUCAGGCCUAAGGAAGGAUGGAGUCAGAGCUCAGAGAUGUGACCGGAAAGGGCUCAGCCACGGGAAGGAGUUUGGGGAUUUACCCACGUAAGUACUGAAUUAUUCGGCCAAAAUUGAAACGUAAAUAGGAACUGAGAGAUGUAAACAGAAUUUGGAAAUCAUUGUUGCCUUGAUGGCACUUUUUGAUCCUGACAAAUUUAGACUUUCCUUUGACAGUCUCAUGGAUGACGCCAGACGGAAAUAAAUAUUUAAGCCCAUGAAAGUUGGGAAGUUGAAUAGGAAAUUUCCCCUACAAGAGGCUAGGAUUGCAAAAGGUCACAACUCUAGAGUAAAGGUAAACCAGAUAUAUACCAGUCCUUCUGGGGGAUAUCAGCUAAAGUUCUCAUUGCCUGGGUGGACCAAGGAACAUCAAACUUUGGACUUGGUUUAAGGUACCUCUGAACAGAUGCUGCUUUUUGAGCCUCUGAGUCAGCAUGCGAAUUCCCCAAACCCAUCAAGGUGGAAGCUCGCUCGUGUCCUCUGCAAUGCCUAACUGCCACCUUGUGGGGUUUCCAUACUGCUUCUAAUCAUUGCAAGAUUUCUUGUGGAUAUUUUCUGUCUUUACCCUCAGAGUUCAAUAGGCCCUUUUCUUUCUAUCACGCUCCAUGCACUUGAAGGGUUAAAAAGACAUACCGGGAAUCAGUGUAAAUGUUGACAGUCUCACCCUCACUGAGUUCUAAGGCCCAAUGAAAGCAAUGAGUUCAGCUUUCUGGGCUGAAGUGGCCUGGGGCAACGAUCCGGCUUCAACAACAGUGUCCAGAGUUAUCACUGCAUACCCUGCACCUCUCUCUCCUUGGGGGUUGAAGAAGCUGCUCCCAUCCACGUAUGGCUCCCAGUCUACUGAUGCCCAAGCCUGGUCCCGGAGGUCA